ACUCAAAUGAAUUGACGGGGGCCCGCACAAGCGGCGGAGCAUGCGGCUUAAUUCGAUGCAACGCGAAGAACCUUACCAGGGCUUGACAUGCACGGUGCAGCGCGAGAGAUCGCGUGUCCUUUGGGGUCGUGCACAGGUGGUGCAUGGUUGUCGUCAGCUCGUGUCGUGAGAUGUUGGGUUAAGUCCCGCAACGAGCGCAACCCUCGUCCUGUAUUGCCAGCAAGCCGGUUCGCCGGUGUUGGGGACUUGCGGGAGACUGCCGGGGUCAACUCGGAGGAAGGUGGGGACGACGUCAAAUCAUCAUGCCCCUUAUGUCCUGGGCUGCACGCAUGCUACAAUGGCCGGUACAGAGGGCUGCGAUGCCGUGAGGCGGAGCGAAUCCCGGAAAGCCGGUCUCAGUUCGGAUCGGGGUCUGCAACUCGACCCCGUGAAGUCGGAGUCGCUAGUAAUCGCAGAUCAGCAACGCUGCGGUGAAUACGUUCCCGGGCCUUGUACACACCGCCCGU
rnacentral:rRNA from 1 species